CACCAAAAGAUAAAAUUAUAUAAGUAGGUAAAAAGAUAGUUAGGUAAAUGUUAAGUUAUGGAAAUUUUAUAGAAAAGUAAAAUUUGAAUAUAAAAUUCUACAAUGAUUAAGACUAAAAAGCUGAAGCUAUGAAAAUUUUGAGGGAAACUGGGAUUAGAUACCCCAUUAUUCAUAAUUAUAAAUAAAAAUAUUUACCAGAGUACUAUGAAUCUUAUAUAAUUUAAAACUCAAAGGGCUUGGCGGUGUUUUAGACCAAUUAGGGGAACCUGUCUCGUAAUCGACAGUCCACGAUAAACCUAACCUUUUUUGGUGUUCAGUUUGUAUACCGUCGUCGUCAGGUAAUUUUUAAAAAUUAAGAAGUUGGCAAAAUAAUAAGUAUAAGUUAAAACGUCAGAUCAAGGUGCAGCUUAUAUAAAGGUGAGGAUGGGUUACAAUUAUUAAAUAAUAAAUAUGGAUAGUAUAAUGGAAAAAGCUUAAAGGAGGACUUAAAAGUAAUAAUGGAAUAUAAAAAUAAAAUGAAUAAGGCUCUGAAACGUGC
rnacentral:rRNA from 1 species